rnacentral:misc_RNA from 1 species
CAUUAUGGAUUUGCUAAGAAGACAAGUACAACUCUGAUAGUAGUUUGUUAGGAAUGGAUUUGAGAAGUAGAUAAAAAUAAACGUAUAAACAACACAGAGUUCUACAUAUGGCUAUACAUAUAGCCACGACCUUUGCUUGAAAAUUUAGCAAAUGUUGUGAUCUCAUCAUGAAUGAAGAUUCAUCAUGUCUUGACUAAAAUCUUAGCCACAAAUCCUUCACAAGAGAAGGAUUUGAAGACUUUCUAAAUCCUUACUAAGGCCAUUUGAUGAUCUUGUACCAUAUCUUGGAGUAUAUUUUGGCAUUAUUGCAUUCAAAGAGUAUGUGAAGAUUACGAGUGGAAUGAGUGCCACCAACAAUUCAAUACAUGCUACACCAAUUUAAAGGAACAAAUCAAAAUGGGAAAAAUUUAGAUUUCAUGUUAAGCCACCUAUUAAUUGGUGUUGAAUGCACUUACUUUAAUGGAACAGGUUGAUUCAGAACAAUUUGAG